AAUAAAUACAGUUUUGCACUAUUCAUCUUCAAUGUUUCGAUCGUCGUCUUAUUUAAAAAAAUUUUAUGAUUAUUAUUUUUAUUAUUAUUAGAUGAUAAAACAUGAAUAGUACUUUAUGUGUGACUAAUUUUUUUUAAAAUUUUCAAAUAAGACGGAUGGUCAAACGUUGGACACGGAUUUCCACGGCUGCACUUAUU
rfam:Oryza glumipatula chromosome 1, whole genome shotgun sequence.